GCUUUUUUGUAUUUUUCUUCAAAAAGUCAAUAAAUUACCAGGUGAAAUGGAAUAAAAACAAUUCUUUUUGAAGAUCUCACUUUAUUACUUAUUUUUCUUAGAUUGAGACAAAUCAGUUUUCCAGAGUUGAAGUUUUACUUGUUUAAUUUUGAAAAACAAAGCAUCAUAGCAUGCUUUUGGGUGUGUGCAUCUAGGAUGGAACAGAAUGGAUAUGCCGUAUUCCUUUCCUGUGGUUUGCUGAUAUAGGACAAAAGGAUGGAAGAGGUCUUAUAGCAUCUUUAUCGAUUGCUUUGUAAGCCAACUUCUUCUGUGCAAAGUGGCAUCAGUUAUGCAGAGACUCAGUUGUGGACGGUAGACCUCACCCUGUGUACAGAGGAACAAGUUCUUAUUUCUAGAGAUAUGUUUUCCUGCCCUCUCCUCUCUUCUCCUUUGGAGACUCCGAUUUACACAUCCAUUUAGCUGCUUGAAGUUGUUCACAGAACCCACUGGUGUUUUAUUGCAACACUGUUGUUU